rnacentral:rRNA from 1 species
UGGGGAAUAUUGCACAAUGGGCGAAAGCCUGAUGCAGCAACGCCGCGUGUGGGAUGACGGCCUUCGGGUUGUAAACCGCUUUCAGCAGGGACGAAGGUUUUCUGACGGUACCUGCAGAAGAAGCACCGGCUAACUACGUGCCAGCAGCCGCGGUGAUACGUAGGGUGCGAGCGUUGUCCGGAAUUAUUGGGCGUAAAGAGCUUGUAGGCGGUCCGUUGCGUCGGAAGUGAAAACUCAGGGCUUAACCCUGAGCCUGCUUUCGAUACGGGCGGACUUGAGGGAUGUAGGGGAGAACGGAAUUCCUGGUGGAGCGGUGGAAUGCGCAGAUAUCAGGAGGAACACCAGUGGCGAAGGCGGUUCUCUGGACAUUUCCUGACGCUGAGAAGCGAAAGCGUGGGGAGCAAAACAGGCUUAGAUACCCUGGUAGUCCACGCCGUAAACGGUGGGCACUAGGUGUUGGACCCAUUCCACGGGUUCCGUGCCGUAGCUAACGCAUUAAGUGCCCCGCCUGGGGAGUACGGCCGCAAGGCU